GUCAAGGUCGUCCAAUGGAAGGAUAGGCAUCUCUCUCAAUCCAAAAUUUUGAUUGUUUCUGAAGCCAGAUCAAGGUUCAAUUCCUUGUCUUGACA